rnacentral:rRNA from 1 species
UACGUAGGGUGCGAGCGUUGUCCGGAAUUAUUGGGCGUAAAGAGCUUGUAGGCGGUUUGUCGAGUCUGCUGUGAAAAUCCGGGGCUCAACCCCGGACUUGCAGUGGGUACGGGCAGACUGGAGUGUGGUAGGGGAGACUGGAAUUCCUGGUGUAGCGGUGGAAUGCGCAGAUAUCAGGAGGAACACCGAUGGCGAAGGCAGGUCUCUGGGCCAAUACUGACGCUGAGAAGCGAAAGCAUGGGGAGCGAACAGG